rnacentral:ncRNA from 2 species
GGCAGGUACCGCGGGAGCCGUUACUGCUGUCAUAAAAGGCGCAGGGCUGAGAGGGCGUCAGAGCCGACCGCUUGACCUGAUCCGGUUAGUACCGGCGUAGGGAAGGAAUAUGCAUGAACCC